rnacentral:rRNA from 1 species
CCUACGGGUGGCUGCAGUGGGGAAUAUUGGGCAAUGGAGGAAAGUCUGACCCAGCAACGCCGCGUGAAUGAUGAAGGUCUUCGGAGUGGAAAGUUCCUUUCUUGCGGAAGAAAAAAGUGACGGUACCUUAUGACUGAGACUCGGCUAACUACGAGCCAGCAGCCGCGGCAAUACGUAGGAGGCAAGAGUUAUGCGGAAUGACUGGGCGUCAAGGGUGCGUAGGUGGUUUGACAAGGUGGUCGUGUAACUCCGAGGCUCAACCUCGGCAGUACUACCGAUACGGUCGGGCUUGAGUGUAGGUGCGGCAGACGGAAUUCAUGGUGUAGCGGUGGAAUGCGUAGAGAUUA